CCAGACUCCUACGGGAGGCAGCAGUGAGGAAUAUUGGUCAAUGGGCGCGAGCCUGAACCAGCCAAGUCGCGUGAGGGAAGACGGUCCUAUGGAUUGUAAACCUCUUUUGUCGGGGAGCAAAAGACGCCACGCGUGGCGUUCCGAGAGUACCCGAAGAAAAAGCAUCGGCUAACUCCGUGCCAGCAGCCGCGGUAAUACGGAGGAUGCGAGCGUUAUCCGGAUUUAUUGGGUUUAAAGGGUGCGCAGGCGGAGGCGCAAGUCAGCGGUAAAAUUGAGAGGCUCAACCUCUUCCUGCCGUUGAAACUGCGUUUCUUGAGUGGGCGAGAAGUACGCGGAAUGCGUGGUGUAGCGGUGAAAUGCAUAGAUAUCACGCAGAACUCCGAUUGCGAAGGCAGCGUACCGGCGCCCAACUGACGCUCAUGCACGAAAGCGUGGGUAUCGAACAGGAUUAGAUACCCCAGUACA
rnacentral:rRNA from 1 species